GUUCUAAAGUCCCCCGCGGAGCUACCGGCACUCAGAGUCUCCCCGGAUUCUGGGGCUGGGCUCAUGGCGCCCGGAUCCGUCCUGCGGCUGCUGUCGUGGGUGCUGGCGCUGACCGGGACCUGGGCGGGCCCCCACUCCCUGCGGUAUUUCCACACCGCCGUGUCCCGGCCCGGCCUCGGGGAGCCCCGCUACAUCGCCGUCGGCUACGUGGACGACGCGCAGUUCGUGCGCUUCGACAGCGACGCCGCGAACCCCAGGAUGGAGCCGCGGGCGCCGUGGGUGGAGCGGGAGCCGCCCGAGUACUGGGAGCGGGAGACGCGGAUCCAAAAGGACCACGCACAGACGAACCGAGUGAACCUGCAGACGCUGCUCGGCUACUACAACCAGAGCGCGGACGCUUCUCACACCUUACAGAGAAUGAGUGGCUGCGACGUGAGCGCAGAUGGCCGUCUCCUCCGCGGGUACUGUCAGCACGCCUACGAUGGCCAGGACUACAUCGCCCUGAACGAGGACUUGAGCUCCUGGACCGCGGCCGACAUGGCGGCUCAGAUCACCAGGAGCAAGUGGGAGGAGGCCGGUGAUGCGGAACACUGGAGGGCCUACCUGGAGGGCAGGUGCGUGGAGUGGCUGCGCAGAUACCUGGAGCGCGGCAAGGAGACGCUGCAGCGCACAGAUCCCCCAAAGGCACACAUCACCCUCCACCCCACCUCUGAGCAUAAGAUGACCCUGAGGUGCUGGGCGCUGGGCUUCUACCCUGCGGAGAUCACCCUGACCUGGCUGCGGGAUGGAGAGGAGCAGACCCAGGAAAUGGAGCUGGUGGAGACCAGGCCUGCAGGAGAUGGAAGCUUCCAGAAGUGGGCAGCUGUGGUGGUGCCUUCUGGGGAGGAGCAGAGAUACACAUGCCAUGUGCAGCAUGAGGGGCUGCCUGAGCCCCUCAGCCUGACAUGGGAGCCGUCUACUUGGCCCACCAGUCCCAAGACUAGAAUUUUCAUUGGUGUGGGCAUCUUUGCAGUUCUGGUUAUUGUAGCUGUGGUGGUUUUUGUGCUGUGGAGGAAGAGGACUGGAGGUGACAAGAGAGAAGGCUAUGAUAAGGCUGCAAGUGAGUGCCAUGGGGGAGGAGGUGACCUUUGUUGUGGUGCAGACAGGACCUGUGGGAGCUCAUGCACCCCGGAAUUCCUCCAGUGAUGCCUGUGUUCUCUAACCAGUUCCUCUCUUCCACCACAGAUGACAGUGACCAGGGUUCUGAUGCUUCCCUCAGAGCUGAAAAAGUGUGACAUAGCUGCUUUGUGUGGCUCUGAGAGGCACAGCAUUUGUUCCUGCCUCUCCUCCUCCCUCCUGGGACAUCAUGAGCUCCUGACUUCUCUUCCUGUACCUGGGUUCUGACCGUGUGCAGGCUUCUGUGUGCUGUCAGCCUCCUGUGAGGAACUGAGGAGCCAGUCCAGCCCUGAGCACCAGGACCCUCCCCACACUGACCUGGGUCUCUUUCCCCUCCAGCUGCUGCUCCAGCAGAGGCGGGGCCAGGGCUUCCCCAACCCUGACUUCACUUUCCCUUGCUCUGAGCUGCAGCUGCUGCUUCCCCACUGAUAAAGAGAAUACGGAUGUGGGUCUGUGUUUCAAAUUGUUGCCAUGGAAAAAUGUUGAAUAAAUCAAUGAAUGAUUCCCAAAAUUGAAUUAGAAAAUCAAACAUGAUUAAAUUCCAGAA